CUACGGGGCGCAGCAGUGGAGAAUUUUGCGCAAUGGGGGAAACCCUGACGCAGCAAUACCGCGUGAGUGAAGAAGGCCUUUGGGUCGUAAAGCUCUUUUCUUGGGGAAGAUAGUGACGGUACCCAAGGAAUAAGCACCGGCUAACUCCGUGCCAGCAGCCGCGGUAAUACGGAGGGUGCAAGCGUGUUCGGAUUUACUGGGCGUAAAGGGCACGUAGGCGGCACAGCAAGUUAAGGGUGAAAUCCCGGGGCUCAACUCCGGAACUGCUCUUAAAACUGCUGAGCUAGAGAUAGUCAGAGGCGGGUGGAAUUCCAGGUGUAGAGGUGAAAUUCGUAGAUAUCUGGAGGAACACCGGUGGCGAAGGCGGCCCGCUGGGGCUAUUCUGACGCUAAGGUGCGAAAGCGUGGGGAGCAAACGGGAUUAGAUACCCGAGUAGUC
rnacentral:rRNA from 1 species